ensembl:lncRNA
CCCCACCCUCCUGUUCUUCCAAGGCCCUCCCCCAGCUGACCUAAUGAUUCGCCCCCACGCUGAUUGACAAGAAGAACAUUACAAUACAUGCACAUAGAACAACUGGCAUAGCGGACAACGAAAUAUAAUGUAACACAUAACACACAAACUAUUUAACUGUCCCAGGGUCGCUACAGUACAAAAGUUCUAGACUCCCAUGGGUUAUGUUUAGACUCCCAUGGGUUAUGUUUAGACUCCCAGGGGUCAUAAUAUCUACCAGGGGUCUAGUAAACAAGAAAUUUAGCAGGUGGCUCACUGUAAUUUUAUGGGCUUCGUUGGUCCCACUGAGUAUAAGAAAGGUGUAUGAGCAUUACAAACAGAGUAGCGGGACAACGUAGCGUCUGAGGCCGAAAUGGGUCCCCUAAUCGGACUGAAUGGUGCGGUUGGGUGCCAACGGUCUGGAGGUCUUCCUGUAGCUCCAGAGUAGCGGGACAACGUCGCGUCUGAGUCCGAAAUGGGUCCCGUAAUCGGACUGAGUGGUGCGGUUGGGUGCCAACGGUCUGGAGGUCUUCCCGGAGCUCCAGAGUAGCGGGACAACUUCGCGUCUGAGUCCGAAACGGGUCCCCUAAUCGGACUGAGUGGUGCGGUUGGUUGCCAACGGUCUGGAGGUCCUGAGAAUCAUCCAGGGGAGCGGGACCACUUGGCUUCUGAGGCCGAAUCGGGUCCCCUUGUCGGACUGAAUGGUGCAGUUGGUGGCCAACAGUCUGGAGGUCUUCCUGAGGCUCCAGAGGAGGGUAACUCUGUGAGUCUGAGUCCGAGAUGAGUCCCCUAAUCGGA